rnacentral:rRNA from 1 species
UACGGGGGGGGCAAGCGUUGUUCGGAAUUACUGGGCGUAAAGGGCUCGUAGGCGGCCAACUAAGUCAGACGUGAAAUCCCUCGGCUUAACCGGGGAACUGCAUCUGAUACUGGAUGGCUUGAGAUUGGGAGAGGGAUGCGGAAUUCCAGGUGUAGCGGUGAAAUGCGCAGAUAUCAGGAGGAACACCGGUGGCGAAGGCGACUCACUGGCCCGAUACUGACGCUGAGGCGCGAAAGCGUGGGGAGCAAACAGG